AGCUUUGCGCAGUGGCAGUCUCGUAGCCAGUGAGGUUUACCCGAGGCAUGAUUAUUGCUAAUUGAAAACUUUUCCAGAAAAGAUGCUGCUUGCUCUGAACAAACAGUGAGCAGUGGUUUGCUAUGGUCAUUUCCU